GUGUCCUUGGUGCGUAGAUGGGGUCACUGUCCGGUGUGUCCUUGGUUUGUAGAUGGGGUCAUUGUCUGAUGUGUCCCUGGUUUGUAGAUGGGGUCACUGUCCGGUGUGUCCUUGGUUUGUAGAUGGGGUCAUUGUCCGGUGUGUCCUUGGUUUGUAGAUGGGGUCAUUGUCUGAUGUGUCCUUGGUUUGUAGAUGGGUCAUUGUCUAUGUGUCCUUGGUUUGUAGAUGGGGUCAUUGUCCAGUGUGUCCUUGGUUUGUAGAUGGGUCAUUGUCUAUGUGUCCUUGGUUUGUAGAUGGGGUCAUUGUCCAAUGUGUCCUUGGUUUGUAGAUGGGGUCAUUGUCCAAUGUGUCCUUGGUUUGUAGAUGGGGUCAUUGUCCAAUGUGUCCUUGGUUUGUAGAUGGGGUCAUUGUCUGAUGUGUCCAUGGUUUGUAGAUGGGGUCAUUGUCUAAUGUGUCCUUGGUUUGUAGAUGGGGUCAUUGUCUAUGUGUCCUUGGUUUGUAGAUGGGGUCAUUGUCUGAUGUUUCCUUGGUUUGUAGAUGGGGUCAUUGUCCGGUGUGUCCAUGGUUUGUAGAUGGGGUCAUUGUCUGAUAUGUCCUUGGUUUGUAGAUGGGGUCAUUGUCUGAUGUGUCCAUGGUUUGUAGAUGGGGUCAUUGUCUGAUGUGUCCAUGGUUUGUAGAUGGGAUCAUUGUCCGGUGUGUCCUUGGUUUGUAGAUGGGGUCAUUGUCUGAUGUGUCCUUGGUUUGUAGAUGGGGUCAUUGUCUGAUGUGUCCUUGGUUUGUAGAUGGGGUCAUUGUCUGAUGUGUCCUUGGUUUGUAGAUGGGGUCAUUGUCCGGUGUGUCCUUGGUUUGUAGAUGGGGUCAUUAUCUGAUGUGUCCUUGGUUUGUAGAUGGGGUCAUUAUCUGAUGUGUCCUUGGUUUGUAGAUGGAGUUCGUUGUCUUGUUUGGUAGUUGGAGUUUGUCUUGGUUAGUUGUCCGAUGGGUUCAUGUUUUUGUUUCUAUGGAUAUACAUAUGUUGUUAACAUAUUAGGAUAUCAUUGUUACUUUUGUAAGAGGGAUGAUCCAUAGAAACAAUAUGAUAUUGCAGCUUUAAUACGUUUGAUUUAAAACGAUAUAAUGUGUUCUUAUUAUAAGUCAUAGAUGGAAGUAUUAUCAUAUGGUGUUGUCCAUCAAUCAUUCGGCGUAAAAGUUUGUUUGUCUGGAGAUCUACUCAGACAUUUAUGGACCAAUAUUUUUGAAACUUGGUAUGCAUUACAAUCAUGAUAUGUACAUAUAUUGCCCUUUAAUUAUAUUUUAGUAUUUGGGUUUUUUGUCCAUGGGGAUCGCCUAAAUUUUUCAACCAUUUUCUUUGAAACUUGGUAGGCUUUAUGCAACCAUGAUAUAUAGCCAUGUUUCCCCUAAAGGCAUUUUGAUUUGACCAUAAUUGCAAAAGCUAUUGCCCUUUGUUUAUUUUGAUAUUUUAAUUUUGUCCGGAGAUCUCCUUCAUUUUUCGGCUGAUUUGUUAGAAGCUAUAUAACCAUGAUAUAUAGUUGUGUUUCCCCUAAAGGCAUUUACAAUGUAACUAAUUUUACAAAAGCUAUUGCCCUUCGUUUAUUUUGGUAUUUGAGUUUUGUCCGGAGAUCUGCAUUUUUCAACUGAUUUCUUAGAAACUUGGUAGGCUGUACAGUAUAAUCAUGGAAUAUAUUUGUGUUUCCCCAUUUCAAUUGGACUAUAUUUUUUCCCCUACAUUUUUCAACAAUUUCUUUGAGUCUUGGUAGGCUUUAUAAUCAUGAUUUCAAAUUGUGUUUAAUGAUUUGUUGACUAAUUCCUGAUAACUGAUAUUCAUCUCACUGAUGGGAAAUUAAACAUUGACUUUGUAGUAAAAUGUGUGGGCUAAAGCAUGUAACAAAUCAUAAUGCGAUACAAAUCGUAUUCCAUUGCAAGAUAGUAUAUAACACUACAAAAUGUAUAAAGAAUUUGACGGGCGUAUUUUGUUCCGCCCCGCUGUACUGACUUGUUAUAUUGUUAAUUAUUGUUAUCAUUGACAUGUAAUAUGCUAAACAUUCCACAAUUACUUUUUUGUAAGCAGUCUGCAUCAACAAGAUAAUGUGUAUCAAUUGUAAUGUAAAUUGAAAACUGUUUGCUUUCAGUACAUAUAAUACCUAUAUAUAUAUUGAAAUAAAUAUUAUGUAUGCUGUAUAUA